GAAAUGCGAUAAGUAGUGUGAAUUGCAGAAUUCAGUGAAUCAUCGAAUCUUUGAACGCACAUUGCGCCCGCCAGUAUUCUGGCGGGCAUGCCUGUUCGAGCGUCAUUUCAACCCUCAAGCCCCCGGGUUUGGUGUUGGGGAUCGGGCUGCGGUUCUGCCGCGUCCCGGCCCCGAAAUCUAGUGGCGGUCUCGCUGCAGCCUCCAUUGCGUAGUAGCUAACACCUCGCAACUGGAACGCGGCGCGGCCAAGCCGUUAAACCCCCAACUUCUGAAUGUUGACCUCGGAUCAGGUAGGAAUACCCGCUGAACUUAAGC
rnacentral:misc_RNA from 1 species